AUGUCGACCACGGGCAAGGAGAUCGUGACGGCGGCAGCGGGAGCACCGAUGCCGAUGGUGGGGGUGUCGCAAUUCCCCCGUCUGGAUCGAGAAGACUACGCACUAUGGGCGAUGAACAUGGAGGUCGCGAUGGAGGGAGCCGAGUUCUGGGAAGCCGUCGACCCCGGCGGUGCCGAGUACGCGAAGGGCACGGCGAAGUACCGGAUUGAUCGUCAGGCGUUAACGGCGAUCUACUCCGCAAUGCCGAAGGAUGUGCUGCAACACCUCGUCGGAAAGAAGACGGCGAAGGAGGCAUGGGAGACCAUCAAGAUCCUGCACCAGGGUCAUGACCGUGUCAAGGAAGCACACCUUCAGUCCCUGAUGAGAAGCUACGAGUGCCUGAAGAUGGAUGAAAGUGAGACGGUUGAUCAGUUUGCCGCCCGUCUCAAGACCCUCGUCAACGGCAUACGCAGCUAUGGUUCAACCCUAGAAGAAGUUGCGAUCGUCCGGCGAUUCUUGCGCGCCGCGCCGGCACGCUACAUUCAGAUCGUUACGUCGAUCGAACAAUGUCUCGACCUGAAAACUCUCACGGUCGAGGAUCUCGUCGGAAGGUUCAAGGCCCACGACGAGAGAAUUCGUCUCAGCUUCGGCGACGCGGAGGCAAGUGAGCACCUGAUGCUGACAAAGGCGCAAUGGAUCGCCCUGUCGAAAGAAAAGCAAGGCGGAUCCACGAGCGGUGGCAAGAAGAAGGGGAAAGGGAAGCAGCGCUCGGCGAGAAAGAACUUCGCCGACUCGGACGACGAGGCUGUGCCUGCACCACCGAGGAGGAAGUUUGACAUCAGAAAAGUGAGGUGUCAUAAGUGUGGCCUCCUCGGUCACUUCAAGGCUAACUGCGAGGAAGCACCAAAGCAACAGGCGCUCAUGGCCGAGGAAGGAGACGAUGGGGAUAUGAUGCUGAUGUGCGAGCUAGUGGACGAAGAAUAUCCAGAUGAUCUUGGUCAGCUGGACACAUGUCCGGUGAGUCCAUCCGCGCCAGUAAACCCAGGCGAUGUCGUGGCGCCAGAAGACCAUGACACAAGGCGUGAUGGUGUAGUCAUGCCAGUAAAACCAGGCGAAUUCGUGGCGCCAGAAGACCAUAACGCAAGGCGUGACGGUGUGGUCAUGCUAGCAGCAGGCGAAGAAGUGGCGCCAGAAGUCCACGGCACAAUGCGUGAUGGUGUGAUCGCGCUAGAAGCAGGCGAAGAAGUGGCGCCAGAAGACCACAACGCGAGACGUGAUGAUGUAGUCACGCAGGAAAACAACGAAGACGUGUCGCCGGAACAACUGGAAAGUUCGGCAACACAGAGCGAUGCUCCGGACGAUGGCGCGCGGCGAGACGCGUCAGGGACCUCAAAUGGAUCAGCUGGCGUCCCAGGAACACGAGUUGUAGCCUCUCCUCGAAGCACAAGGAGCACCGCGUGGAGCGCUGGCGCUACAAGCGACAGGCAUGGCGUACGAGGCGUGCACGAUGUGCCAUGCAGCUCAGCCAGCUGCACUGGAGGUAGUGACCCAGCGGACGGGCCAAAAGCUGGGCGUGGCCCAGCGCCAAGCUCCCAACCGGGGAGCCCAGCAGGUAGGCCGGCUACUGGCAGGCCAGAGCUGCCAGAAGGCCCAGCCCUGGCUCAACCUUCAGUUGACCACGUGGCUGGAGGAGCAGAAGGGCAUGCACGUGAAGCAUCUCCAGCGUUUUUGGCUGGUUCAACUUGUGAACGAGCAGCUAAUUUGGAAGGGACCAAAUUGCCAGAAAAUGGAACUUUGGCAAGUACAGAAGCAAGCGUGUCUUCUCCGACAGCACGAGAGCGGCGCUUGUUAGAUCUCUCUCCAACGGAAGCGUUUCAAAUUAAUUCGGUGAAGAUGAAGAGUAAAGGGCAACGACAUUUGCACAUCGAGGAACCGGAAAGUUUUGAAGAUGCAAAGACGGAAGAGUGUUGGCGUCGUGCUAUGGAUGAAGAAUUGGGUUCGAUCCGAGACAACUAUACAUGGGAGCUCGCGGAUCUUCCCAACGGACAUAAUGCCAUAGAGCUCAAGUGGGUGUACAAAGUCAAGAAGGAUGCCAAAGGGAACUUGGUGAAGCAUAAAGCAAAGCUCGUGGCUAAAUCAAACAUGCAAGACCAAGGUGUGGACUUCGAAGAAGUGUUCGCUCCACUUGCAAGGAUGGACACGGUGAGGCUACUUAUAGCUCUCGCGGCUCAAGAAUCUUGGAGGAUACAUCAUAUGGAUGUGAACUCCGCGUUGUUGACUGGGGAGUUAGAAGAGGAGUUGUAUGUGAAGCAACCACCGGGAUACAUCCAACAAGGAGAGGAGCACAAGGUAUUGAAGCUACACAAGGCGUUGUACGGGCUACGACAAGCUCCUUGGGCAUGGAGCAUGAAGCUUGACAGUACAUUGAUUUCUCUUGGGUUUGAGAAAGCCCCACUGGAGCAUACGAUGUAUAAACGAGGUAAAGGCAAGGAUCGUCUCUUAGUGGGCAUCUAUGUGGAUGAUCUAUUGAUAACUGGAGCAGACGAAGAGGUGAUUGCAAACUUCAAGCUACAAAUGGAGGAGCUAUUCAAGAUGACUGAUCUAGGGCUCUUGAGUUACUACCUUGGGAUUGAGGUACAGCAAAAGCCGGAGGCGAUCACAAUAUGCCAGGAGGCAUAUGCAAAGAAGGUACUUGAAAGCUGUGGCAUGAAAGAUUGCAAUCCAAGUCAUGUUCCGAUGAAGCCUUGUGUUGUUCUAAGCAAGAAGAGUGAAGCACCCGCUGUUGAUGCAACAGAGUAUAGAAGUGUGGUCCGGAAGUUGAGGUAUCUCACGAAUACAAGACCGGACUUGGCCUAUUCCGUUGGCAUAGUGAGUCGCUUCAUGGAAGCACCCACGACAGAACAUUGGGCAGCUGUGGAACAUAUACUCAGGUACAUCAAAGGGACAACAAAUUUCGGUUGUGUCUAUUUGAGAGAGAAGAAGAAGGAGAUGGUGGAGCUACUUGGCUAUAGUGAUAGUGACCUGGCAGGAGAUGUGGACGACCGUAAAAGUACCUCGGGCGUGGCAUAUUUCUUAGGAGGAAGCAUAGUGAGUUGGCUAUCACAGAAGCAGAAGGUGGUCGCAUUAUCAUCUCGUGAAGCGGAGUAUAUCGCAGCUGCAACCGCGGUGUGUCAAGGCGUGUGCCUAGGAAGACUACUCGGUGAUCUCACAGGUAAGGAACGAGUGGUGCUCAAAGUUGACGACAAAUCUACAGUCUCUCUGUGGAAGAAUCCAGUGUGUCAUUAUGGAAACUGGAAGCACAUCGAUACGAGGUAUCGGUACUUAAGGGAGUGUGUGGAAGAAAGCAAGAUUGACAUCAACUACGUUUGCACCAAUGAUCAGCUUGCAGAUAUCCUGACCAGAUCUUUGGGACGGCAAAAGUUCGUGAAGAUGCGGCGAAGGAUUGGUGUCCAAGCUGUGACGUGA
rnacentral:rRNA from 1 species